UUAGAUCAGCUCGAGAAAAAGCAGGACAGAGCUCAGUUGGUUAAAAUUAUAAGGCGAGCAAUCUAAAGUAUUUCACACAUGAUAAAGGAAGAACAGCUUAAGCAUGAGAGCAGAACAAGAACUUCAUUAAAAGAAAAGUACAUUACAGCACGUUACAAAGGCCUACACUACGGGAUGAAAGACUAUCCUUAAAGGAUUUACAUAUCCAGAUAUUUCAUCAUCUACGAUUAUCACCUACCCUACUAUUCUAGUCUUCAGCUCGGAGGACUUCUCGUAGCUCGGAAUGUGAGUUUUUCAGAAAAGGCCAAGAUCUGUCCCGCUAUUAUAGGGGAACUGAACAAGUUGAUUCCCAUAAGCAUUUCUCACUGUCCCCCUGGGCAAACGUUCGAUUACCCGAAUGUGAUACACGGUACAUUCGAACAAGCUCAGAUAUUGUAUGCCGGCCGUGCACCACACAUGAAAAACAUAAGUCUUCGGGCUAUGGCCCCGAAGAGAUCGCGAAGUACACAUUCGAAGAAAUCGCUGGAGACCUGACUGAGUGCAGCAGAUCCCAGUCUCACAUAAUACUGGUACUUCACACCAAAGGGAAUAAUAAU
rnacentral:lncRNA from 1 species